AACACUGAUUCAUCCAGUAAUGAAACAAGUGAAGUCUGUAUGAGUGAGUCAUUGAAUCAUUCAUUCAAGAGAUUUGUUCAAAAAUGCUGAUUCAUCCACAAGUGAAGAUUUGAGUGAGUCAUUGAAUCAUUCAUUCAAGAGAUUUGUUCAAAAAUGCUGAUUCAUCCAGUAAUGAAACAAGUGAAGUCUUUA